UAGCCAGGGAGGAAACCUUUCCCGCCUUCCCCGCGGAUCCCCCUCGGAGUCCUGUGGGAGGUGAGCGCCAUAUUACUGCCGCGGGGGACGGAGCUGUCAUCGUCCAUGUCUGAGAUUGGAAGAUGUUUUUGAUAUUAACUAAUGGAAGGAUUGAAGUCACGACAGACUGCGGCGUUCAGCUAAGCAUGCAGAACUCUACACCAGCUAUGAACCAGCAUAGAUCUCUGAGACUUUUGGUGUCGCAAAUCAGCCCUAAAGUUACAUUUGAGGAUGAGACCUCUUUCGGACUCCUUCCCUCUCCUUCGGCCGGAGUGUCGUAUAUGCUGAAAAGUUGCUAAAUUAGCAUUUUUUGCCAUACAAAAUCAGCCUGUAGUUUCUCGCUCUCUAUAGAUUUAGGUUUCUGUACAGAGAAGCGCCAGCAUCGGGAAACUCAACGGCAACACCUGGAAACUUUACGGCAACAUCGGGACACUGAGGAGCAGCAUCGGGACACUGACCGGCAACACGGGGAAACUGAAUGGCAACACCGGGACACCCAGCGGCAACACCAGGACACUGAGCUGCAACACCGGUAAACUGAACGGCAACACCGGGAAACUGAACUGCAACAUCGGGAAACUGAACGGCAACAUCGGGAAACUGAACUGCAACAUCGGGAAACUGAACGGCAACAUCGGGAAACUGAACGGCAACAUCGGGAAACUGAACUGCAACAUCAGGAAACUGAACGGCAACAUCGGGAAACUGAACGGCAACAUCGGGAAACUGAACGGCAACAUUGGGACACAGAGCGGCCACACAAGGACAUCUCCCCCCCUCCCCGGCUGGGCCCAGAUAUUACACAGCAGUGAUGAGCGAUCAGAGGGGGGCCGGGGCAUUGAGCCAUUGUGCCGCCUGCUCUUCGCACAAAAUGGGACCCUCACCACCCUCAUCCCCCUGUAGCAUUAGGGGGAGUAGUUGUGCUUUGUGCCGGGAAUCUUCUCCUCCUUAAGCUUCUAUAGAGCGCGGCCUUUUGUCAGCCCAAGUUCAUCCUCAAGUUUGAGAAUAGGGGAAAAAGGAGAAGAAGAAGAAAGGGGAAAAGAAAAGGAAGCCGCCAUUGUGCCCUGCACCUAACCUGAACUUAGUUAAAGAGGGUAUACUGUUCCUAGAACAUCACUAACUAUAUAUAUAGAUAGAUAUGAGAUAGAUAGAUAAGAGAUAAGAUAGACAGAUAUAAGAUAGAUAGAUAUGAGAUAGAUAGAUAGAUAUGAGAAAGAUAUGAGAUAUAUAUUAGAUAGAUAGAUAUGAGAUAGAUAAAUAGAUAGAUAUGAGAUACAUAUUAGAUAGAUAGAUAUGAGCUAGAUAGAUAUGAUGGAUAGAUAUGAGAUUGAUGGAUAGAUAGAUAUGAGAUAGAUAGAUUUGAGAUAGAUGGAUAGAUAGAUAUGAGAUAGAUGGAUAGAUUGAUAUGAGUGAGAUAGAUAGAUGUGAGAUAGAUAGAUAGAUAUGAGAUAGAUGGAUAGAUAGAUAUGAGUGAGAUAGAUAGAUAGAUGUGAGAGAUAGAUAUAGAUAGAUAUGAGAUAAAUGGAUAGAUAGAUAUGAGUGAGAUAGAUAGAUAGAUAUGAGAUAGAUGGAUAGAUAGAUAUGAGUGAGAUAGAUGUAAGAUAGAUAAAUAUAUAUGAGAUAGAUGGAUAGAUAUGAGAUAGAUAGAUAGAUACAUAGAUAGAUAUGAGUGAGAUAGAUAGAUGUGAGAGAUAGAUAUAGAUAGAUAGAUGUGAGAUAGAUAGAUAUGAGAUAGAUGGAUAGAUAGAUAUGAGUGGGAUAGAUAGAUGUGAGAUAGAUAUAUAUAUAUAUGAGAUAGAUGGAUAGAUAGAUAUGAGAUAGAUAGAUAGAUAUGAGUGAGAUAGAUAGAUGUGAGAGAUAGAUAUAGAUAGAUAGAUGUGAGAUAGAUAGAUAUAUAUGAGAUAGAUAGAUAUGAGAUAAAUAGAUACGAGAUAGAUCGAUAGAUAUUAGAUAUGAAAAAGAAUGAACCCUGAAUCAGUUUGUAUGUUCUG